CACUAAUUACAAUGCAACUUAUAAUUACAAACAAUUUUGCGUUGAUGUACACACUUCAUGUUAUAUACUUUUUUCGAAUAUAUGUAUCUUUGUAUGUACACAUCACAUCCACAUACGUAUAUGUGUAAACAGCUAAAUGAUUUUUGUUUAUUAUUAUUUACUGACCGUACAAUAUGCGUCUUUGACUUUAAACUUACAGCAAUCAGCUUUUAGUCUGACACAAUCAGCUGAUACACUAAACCUUUGUACAUGCACAAACAAAGCAACAAUACCACGACUCAACUCUACAGAAGCUUUAAGCUUAAUGUAAAUACUUAACAUGUGCAUACAUCAUUAUUUUCAGUACAUUGUUCAACAUUUUGUAUGCUUCGCGAAAUUAAUGAACGUGCAACUUCACUUUCAGAUAUUAUGGAUAUAAAUAUUUUCCAAUGCGCCGUCCUUAAAAGCACGUUAAGUGUAAUGUGCGAACAUCGAUGAUGAAAUAUGAUUUACAUUUAAAUUUUUACAUUAAAAAUGCAGAAGCCUUUUCUGAUCAGUAGUAAUAGCGCUUGGAUUUUAUAAGAAUGUUUAUCAAAUUAAAGGUAGUUGUUAUAUUUUUAAAUAUAAUUAAUGUUUUCAUAUAGACAACUUAAACUGAUUCGUUUACAAAG